GCAACUCGCCUGCAUGAAGCUGGAAUUGCUAGUAAUCGCGGAUCAGCAAGCCGCGGUGAAUACGUUCCCGGGUCUUGUACACACCGCCCGUCACACCAUGGGAGCCGGAAAUGCCCGAAGUCUGUGACUCAACCGAGAGGGGAGAGCAGCCGAAGGUGGAGCUGGUAACUGGGGUGAAGUCGUAACAAGGUAGC
rnacentral:rRNA from 1 species